rnacentral:rRNA from 1 species
UACGAAGGGGGCUAGCGUUGUUCGGAAUUACUGGGCGUAAAGGGCGCGUAGGCGGUCCGAUAAGUCCCGUGUGAAAUCCCUCGGCUCAACUGAGGAAUGGCACGGGAAACUGACGGGCUUGAGUUCGGGAGAGGGAAGCGGAAUUCCGGGUGUAGCGGUGAAAUGCGUAGAUAUCCGGAGGAACACCGGUGGCGAAGGCGGCUUCCUGGACCGACACUGACGCUGAGGCGCGAAAGCUAGGGGAGCAAACGGG